CUUAUCUUCAUACACUCUUAGAAUGCACUCAUAAUAUGUAAGUUCUCAUAAAUAUGUAGUGGUUUCUGAAGUACCAAAUUUCAACUGUGCUACAUGAAAUCGGUCAAGUGCGUCGAUUGAUUGGUUCGCCAGAUAAUCAAAUAAUUUUCCCUUCUGAAUAGUCACUUAUCAUUUUGGAUUACUUGGCUACCUAUCUUUUUCAUCACAAACUUCUUUUAAAAAAUCUCGGUGGAUCCCUAUGAUUCCAGAUUAUAAAGUAUCUAAAUCAAAAUGAACAUUUUUUCUUCAGUGAUUUUAUUGUCAGCGGCUGUGCUGGUACUGUGUUUGAGCAAAUGCAGCACUUUCGCGAUGUUUCGUGGGACAGAAAGUAUAAUGAUAGGCUGUAAAAAGGCAUUUAAUUUUUUGAAAAUUUUAAUAAAUGAUUCAUAUUAAGUGCCAUUGCUAUAAAAUUAAGUCACAUUGAAAAAAUUUCCAAAUUCUUACAACCGACUUUGGCUACUCAUUUAUCAAUUUAUAGCCUUGUACGUGAAGUAUCUGUGCUAUACAGUAGGUACCUGGUUAGAUAAUUAAGUACAUAUGUAUAAUCUAAAACAAAAUGGCAAAUUGAUUGAACAACUAAAUCUAAGGAUCAUUUAAUCUAAAUAGUAGGCUAUAAAGUAACUUUUUAACAAUAAACGACACGUUUUACAAA